GUGACGUACAAAAGGUAGUUCUCUGAAUACGACCAUCAGUAUACAGUCGGCUGUGCUGCCCAAAUAUUGCCAUCGUUCUCCAUAGAAGAAACAAAUCAACAUUCUCAGCAUCAAAAUAUUGUAUAAAUCGUUGCGUUACGUAGUAUCCGAUCCAAAAUGAAGCAGUUCAUGUUUCAUUUGAGCAUCUUUAUCAUCAUUAUAUUCUUGGCUAACAGAGAAGUAAUGGGCCAAAAUAAUGAGGGUGUAAUACAAAAAGCUCCUGCUAAGGAAGUUCUCAUACAACCAGCUCCUUUCGCUGUUAUUGUACCAGGUGCUAUUCUAGCUAAUUACGGUAAAAGAUCAGAAAAUAGUAAAGGCUGAAGGCCACUUGUCAUUCCCAAAGAAGAAGAAAACAACUCUCAGUUGCUUGAAUCUUGUGAUGGUUAAUAAAAAAUUGUUUGACUG
rnacentral:lncRNA from 1 species